rnacentral:rRNA from 1 species
AUUGAACGCUGGCGGCAUGCCUUACACAUGCAAGUCGAACGGCAGCACGGGGCAACCUGGUGGCGAGUGGCGAACGGGUGAGUAAUGCAUCGGAACGUACCUUUCAGUGGGGGAUAACGUAGCGAAAGUUACGCUAAUACCGCAUAUUCUGUGAGCAGGAAAGCAGGGGAUCGCAAGACCUUGCGCUGAUUGAGCGGCCGAUGUCAGAUUAGCUAGUUGGUGAGGUAAAGGCUCACCAAGGCGCCGAGCUGUAGCGGGUGUGAGAGGAGGAUCCGGCACAUGGGAACGGAGACACGGUCCAGACUCCUACGGGAGGGAGCAGUGGGGAAUGUUGGACAAGGGGGGCAACCCUGAUCCAGCCAUGCCGCGUGAGUGAAGAAGGCCUUCGGGUUGUAAAGCUCUUUCGACCGGGAAGAAAUCGCACGAGCUAAUACCCUGUGUGGAUGACGGUACCGGAAUAAGAAGCACCGGCUAACUACGUGCCAGCCGCCGCCGUAAUAC